rnacentral:tRNA from 1 species
GGGCAGAUGUCCGAGCGGUCUAAGGAGACGGUCUUGAAAACCGUUGAGGUUCGCGCCUCCGCGGGUUCGAAUCCCGCUCUGCCCG